ACCUCCGAGAUUCAGCCCCAGGUAUAGAUA
rnacentral:sRNA from 1 species